rfam:Lactobacillus pontis DSM 8475 NODE_81, whole genome shotgun sequence.
UCUCGUUAUAAAGCAAAUUCCCGAUAGGAUUCACGCUUGCCGUGAAGAUGCCUUGUAACCGCAACUACAAAACUGUUGAAAAGUUUCACUAGAAUAUGGGGGAAUUAGAUUAAAAUG